rnacentral:rRNA from 1 species
UUAAAUAGCCAUAUCACCCUGCAGCCCAAGACCGGUUACUCACUGAAGCUAAGCAGGGCUGAGCCUGGUUAGUACCUGGAUGGGAGACCAAUUGGGAACACUAGGUUGCUGGUGGAA